GACGAGCCACACGAACGUUAUUCGGAAUUACUGGGCUUAAAGGGUGCGUAGGCGGUGCGGAAAGUUGGGUGUGAAAUCCCUCGGCUCAACCGAGGAACUGCGCCCAAAACUACCGUACUUGAGGAAGAUAGAGGUGAGCGGAACUCACGGUGGAGCGGUGAAAUGCGUUGAUAUCGUGAGGAACACCCGUGGCGAAAGCGGCUCACUGGGUCUUUUCUGACGCUGAUGCACGAAAGCUAGGGGAGCAAACGGG
rnacentral:rRNA from 1 species